ensembl:lncRNA
AUUUUCACUGCCACUACUUUGUAGUGCUUACAGCACAGUGUUUUACAGCGUCUGUUUCACGCACAGUUAUAGGUUGUUAACAUGACAUUUUUAUGCCAUCGCCACAGUUGCAGAAACAACCAUUUGAAGCACACGCAGAGAGAGGUGUGCGUGCAAGCUUAUGUGUGUGUGUGUGUGUGUCUGUGUUGUGUGUGCCUGAGUGUGAGCAUGCACGUGUGUGUAGUGUGUGGGCGCUUGUGUGUGUCAACAGACACGAUUCUUCUCUCUCCUGACGUGACAAAGAGAGAGGGACUGCGAUGCAAAGCGAGCCCUGGAACUUUUUUUAGUACGGUUGGAACCAAGCAAAUCCAAAGGGGAGCUGUCUGCACGCAUGGAGACAGAUAAGCACACAUGGCCACCGGCAAGGGCUUUGAUCAAGAGCAGUGAUCCUGGGAACAAUCAGAUGUAGGAGCCACUGCCGAAACAUUCAAAGCGUUGCUGGAGUGCCAGUUUCUAAAAGAAGAACAAAGACCUGCUCCUCGUAUCAAAUUCCUGGCGUGCGGGAUCAUUCAAACUUUAUUUUUUCCGCUUUCCACCGCAAUGCUCUAACUGUGUAGCAACGGUCCAACGUAAAAAAUAGCUAGCGCACACUCAGGAAAUAACCUCACCUCAGCCACCUCCCCCUCGACUCACUUCCUGUGCCGAGUCACACAAUCAAAGAUGACAUCAUCGCGCGCGUGUGUGUGUGUGUGUGUGUCUGCGCACCCCACUUGUAUGAUUGAGUGUGUGUGUGUGUGUGUGUGUGUGUGUGUGCGUUUGCACAGCUUAAGUUCCCCGGUGGCUGUACGGCAUCAACGUCAGAAUGGUGAACGGCUAAGUGUAUAUUAUCAUGUAACAUGUACAGGCCCGCAGCGGUAGUCUAUGCUUGCUGCGGCUUUCACCCACUGCUUCCGAUGCUCUUCUAAUGUCCUUCUUCUCCCCAGUUUCACUUUCCAUUCUGCCGUUUCCUUCCAAACAGUCUCUUUCAAACCACUGAGUCCCCUGAGGGAAACACGGUGCACAAGAC